AUACGAAGGGGGCAAGCGUUGCUCGGAAUGACUGGGCGUAAAGGGCGCGUAGGCGGUUGACACAGUCAGAUGUGAAAUUCCCGGGCUUAACCUGGGGGCUGCAUUUGAUACGUGGCGACUAGAGUGCGAGAGAGGGUUGUGGAAUUCCCAGUGUAGAGGUGAAAUUCGUAGAUAUUGGGAAGAACACCGGUGGCGAAGGCGGCAACCUGGCUCAUAACCGACGCUGAGGCUCGAAAGCAUGGGUAGC
rnacentral:rRNA from 1 species